GGCCCGCAAGGGUGCUGACGAGUGGCGGACGGGUGAGUAAUGCGUAGGAAUCUGCCUAGUAAUGGGGGAUAACCUAGGGAAACUUAGGCUAAUACCGCAUAAGCCCUACGGGGGAAAGCAGGGGAUCGUAAGACCUUGCGUUAUUAGAUGAGCCUACGUCGGAUUAGCUAGUUGGUGGGGUAAAGGCCUACCAAGGCGAUGAUCCGUAGCUGGUCUGAGAGGACGACCAGCCACACUGGGACUGAGACACGGCCCAGACUCCUACGGGAGGCAGCAGUGGGGAAUAUUGGACAAUGGGCGCAAGCCUGAUCCAGCGAUGCCGCGUGUGUGAAGAAGGCCUGCGGGUUGUAAAGCACUUUCAGUGGGGAGGAAAGGCUCCAUGCUAAUACCAUGGAGAGUUGACGUUACCCACAGAAGAAGCACCGGCUAACUCUGUGCCAGCAGCCGCGGUAAUACAGAGGGUGCAAGCGUUAAUCGGAAUUACUGGGCGUAAAGGGUGUGUAGGCGGUUUGAUAAGUUAGGUGUGAAAGUCCUGGGCUUAACCUGGGAAUUGCGCCUAAUACUGUCAAGCUAGAGUACUGUAGAGGAAGGUGGAAUUUCCGGUGUAGCGGUGAAAUGCGUAGAUAUCGGAAGGAACAUCAGUGGCGAAGGCGACCUUCUGGACAGAUACUGACGCUGAGACACGAAAGCAUGGGUAGCAAACAGGAUUAGAUACCCUGGUAGUCCAUGCUGUAAACGAUGAGAACUGGCUGUUGGGCGCCGUGAGGCGCUUAGUAGCGAAGCUAACGCG
rnacentral:rRNA from 1 species